UACGUAGGGGGCAGGCGUUGUCCGGAUUUACUGGGCGUAAAGAGCGUGUAGGCGGCCAAACAGGUCCGUUGUGAAAACUCGAGGCUCAACCUCGAGACGUCGGUGGAAACCGUUUGGCUAGAGUCCGGAAGAGGAGAGUGGAAUUCCCGGUGUAGCGGUGAAAUGCGCAGAUAUCGGGAAGAACACCCGUGGCGAAGGCGGCUCUCUGGGACGGUACUGACGCUGAGACGCGAAAGCGUGGGGAGCGAACAGG
rnacentral:rRNA from 1 species